GACGAACGCUGGCGGCGUGCCUAAUACAUGCAAGUCGAACGCAGUGGGGACGGGUGAGUAACACGUGGGUCACCUCCCCUCAGCGGGGAUCACACUUGGAAACAGGUGCUCAACCGAUACCGAUGGAUGUACCCGCGGUGCAUUAGCUAGUUGGAGAGGUACGGGCUCACCAAGGCCACGAUGCAUAGCCGACCUGAGCGGGUGAGCAGGCACACUGGGAUUGAGACACGGCCCAGACUCCUACGGGAGGGAGACGAAGGGAAUCUACGGCAGUUGACGAAAGUCUGACCGGGAAAAGCCGCGUAAGUUAAGAAGGGUUUCGGAUCUUAAAACUCAGUUGUUAGAAAAGCGGUAUCUAACCAGAAAGGCACGACUAACUACGUGCCAGCAGCCGCGGUAAUAC
rnacentral:rRNA from 1 species